rnacentral:rRNA from 1 species
GUACACAAAAAUGCACAUAUUGUGAGCUCGAUGAGUAGGGCGGGACACGUGGUAUCCUGUCUGAAUAUGGGGGGACCAUCCUCCAAGGCUAAAUACUCCUGACUGACCGAUAGUGAACCAGUACCGUGAGGGAAAGGCGAAAAGAACCCCGGCGAGGGGAGUGAAAAAGAACCUGAAACCGUGUACGUACAAGCAGUGGGAGCCUCUUUAUGGGGUGACUGCGUACCUUUUGUAUAAUGGGUCAGCGACUUAUAUUCUGUAGCAAGGUUAACCGAAUAGGGGAGCCGAAGGGAAACCGAGUCUUAACUGGGCGUUAAGUUGCAGGGUAUAGACCCGAAACCCGGUGAUCUAGCCAUGGGCAGGUUGAAGGUUGGGUAACACUAACUGGAGGACCGAACCGACUAAUGUUGAAAAAUUAGCGGAUGACUUGUGGCUGGGGGUGAAAGGCCAAUCAAACCGGGAGAUAGCUGGUUCUCCCCGAAAGCUAUUUAGGUAGCGCCUCGUGAAUUCAUCUCCGGGGGUAGAGCACUGUUUCGGCAAGGGGGUCAUCCCGACUUACCAACCCGAUGCAAACUGCGAAUACCGGAGAAUGUUAUCACGGGAGACACACGGCGGGUGCUAACGUCCGUCGUGAAGAGGGAAACAACCCAGACCGCCAGCUAAGGUCCCAAAGUCAUGGUUAAGUGGGAAACGAUGUGGGAAGGCCCAGACAGCCAGGAUGUUGGCUUAGAAGCAGCCAUCAUUUAAAGAAAGCGUAAUAGCUCACUGGUCGAGUCGGCCUGCGCGGAAGAUGUAACGGGGCUAAACCAUGCACCGAAGCUGCGGCAGCGACACUAUGUGUUGUUGGGUAGGGGAGCGUUCUGUAAGCCUGUGAAGGUGGCCUGUGAGGGUUGCUGGAGGUAUCAGAAGUGCGAAUGCUGACAUAAGUAACGAUAAAGCGGGUGAAAAGCCCGCUCGCCGGAAGACCAAGGGUUCCUGUCCAACGUUAAUCGGGGCAGGGUGAGUCGACCCCUAAGGCGAGGCCGAAAGGCGUAGUCGAUGGGAAACAGGUUAAUAUUCCUGUACUUGGUGUUACUGCGAAGGGGGGACGGAGAAGGCUAUGUUGGCCGGGCGACGGUUGUCCCGGUUUAAGCGUGUAGGCUGGUUUUCCAGGCAAAUCCGGAAAACCAAGGCUGAGGCGUGAUGACGAGGCACUACGGUGCUGAAGCGACAAAUGCCCUGCUUCCAGGAAAAGCCUCUAAGCAUCAGGUAACAUCAAAUCGUACCCCAAACCGACACAGGUGGUCAGGUAGAGAAUACCAAGGCGCUUGAGAGAACUCGGGUGAAGGAACUAGGCAAAAUGGUGCCGUAACUUCGGGAGAAGGCACGCUGAUAUGUAGGUGAAGCGACUUGCUCGUGGAGCUGAAAUCAGUCGAAGAUACCAGCUGGCUGCAACUGUUUAUUAAAAACACAGCACUGUGCAAACACGAAAGUGGACGUAUACGGUGUGACGCCUGCCCGGUGCCGGAAGGUUAAUUGAUGGGGUUAGCGGUAACGCGAAGCUCUUGAUCGAAGCCCCGGUAAACGGCGGCCGUAACUAUAACGGUCCUAAGGUAGCGAAAUUCCUUGUCGGGUAAGUUCCGACCUGCACGAAUGGCGUAAUGAUGGCCAGGCUGUCUCCACCCGAGACUCAGUGAAAUUGAACUCGCUGUGAAGAUGCAGUGUACCCGCGGCAAGACGGAAAGACCCCGUGAACCUUUACUAUAGCUUGACACUGAACAUUGAGCCUUGAUGUGUAGGAUAGGUGGGAGGCUUUGAAGUGUGGACGCCAGUCUGCAUGGAGCCGACCUUGAAAUACCACCCUUUAAUGUUUGAUG